UACGUAGGGGGCAAGCGUUGUCCGGAUUUAUUGGGCGUAAAGCGCGUGUAGGCGGCCACGCAGGUCCGCUGUGAAAACUCGAGGCUCAACCUCGAGAUGUCGGCGGAAACCAUCUGGCUAGAGUCCGGAAGAGGAGAGUGGAAUUCCCGGUGUAGUGGUGAAAUGCGUAGAUAUCGGGAGGAACACCAGUGGCGAAGGCGACUUCCUGGCCUGUUCUUGACGCUGAGGCGCGAAAGCUAGGGGAGCAAACGGG
rnacentral:rRNA from 1 species